AGAAAAUCAAGUUUAUAGAAGAACUAAAGAAUUCCAGGCAGGAAAACCACAAAAUCAUUGAGGGGAUGCAUUUAGAACUAAACCGAUUGCAAGAAAAUUCACAGCAAGAGCUUUUGAGAUGUACCGCCAGCCUUCAGAGUCCUGCUGGACGACCUGGUGCCCUCCCACUGCUAAACUCUCUGCAGUCAGAAAUCGAGGAGUUU